GUAACCCAUCUUCCCUUCCCUCUGUCCCAAUUGUGAGCGGCGAGAAACAACCAGAGAAAGGCAAAACCACCAAGGAUUCGGCACUGACCUUGACGCUUGGCGACGCCGUCUUCUCUCUCAACCGUCCGCUGCACCGCUCCACGCGACUGCCUGCCUAUUACCGGUUAACUUUCAAUUGCAAUGGUCGUAUCUUUAUACAUUGGAUUGGAGAUGUAUGGAUUUUACUCGUGGCAGUGGAUACUACAAAGAGCAUACACGAAGAUGGCAUGCAAUAUUUGAACGAGUCAAAUGGUGGAUCAUUUUAGCAAUUGUGGAUGUCAUCAAACAAAAAGCAUAUAUGUGGAUAGCAUACACGUGGAUGGCAUGCAAUAUUUAGGAGUUCAUUUUAGCAAUUUUCUGUUUUGAGCGAAUUUAAGGAUAUUUUUGUCAUUUUUAUAGUUUUUAAUUUUAUUUAGAUUUAUCUACAGAAUUAGAAUUUUGCAUUGAUUAGAGUUCGUUUUAACUCUUUAAAUUUGUGUUAAAGGGAUUGAACAACCUACAAAUAUUUUGAUUAAUAAUAUCAUAAUUUAUUUCGUUAA